rnacentral:rRNA from 1 species
GAGUGGCGGACGGGUGAGKAAUGCAUCGGAAUCUACUCUUUCGKGGGGGAUAACGUAGGGAAACUUACGCUAAUACCGCAUACGACCUACGGGUGAAAGCCGGGGACCUUCGGGCCUGGKCGAAUGAAUGAGCCGAUGCCCGAUUAGCUAGUUGGCGGGGUAWGAGCCCACCAAGGCGACGAUCGSYAGCUGGYCUGAGAGKAUGAUCAGCCACACUGGAACUGAGACACGGUCCASACUCCUACGGGAGGSAGCWGUGGGGAACAUUGGACAAUG